GUCACAUCCUGUGCGGCUGUGGCCUGUUCGGGAGCUGAACUGCCUCUUCCACUGAGGGGAAGUUACCUCCUAUAGACCACCUGCUUAGCAGUUGAUUCUGUUUCAGUAUUGCUUUAUUGCCACUCAGGAUCUAUAGGAAACACUCAGACUCUCAUGGUUUAUAUUUUACUACAAGACAACUCUAUAUGGUAAAUCCUCACCAUGGUGGCCACAUGGAUUCUUCUAUACGGCUUUGUCAUGUGUUUUAUCUGGUACCACCAGACUUCUUAACACUCUCAGCUCACUUGUGAGACUAAACAGCUCCUUCACAAGACAAUGCUGUACUUUUUGCAAGAAUCACAUCAUUCUCAUUAAUUUUAAUGAGCAUUUAAUGCAUCUCAAGUGUGUUAUUUUUACAUCCUGAAAUUUGUAACUGUUGAAGGAUUAGAAGCGUGAAUUUUUAUUAUUAUUAUUUGGCCCGGGUGGUGCAGCAGAACUUGCUGUUUCCAGCUAUGUGAUGGAGCAGUACUGCACAAGGUCCCAAGUUAGCAAGACAGAUGGAGAAGAAAGUUUCUUCAUGUCUGUUGCCACUGUGCUCCCCGUCUAUCAUCAGAGCUUUGGAAUCACUCUGUAAUGAAAACCAGUGCUGUGCAGUGUUAUAACCGCAGUAUCCAGCAGGAUCAGAGUUCACUGAUGCACAUGUUGUUGAGUUUUCUGUUGAGGCAGCUGCAAUACUGGCAAAGCAGAACAUCUUAUUUCAUUCCAACAUGGUGAAACAUAAGGAUUUUUGUACAUUAUUUUUCAUUUUCCACAAAUGAUGAUGCAUCACUGGCAUUACAGUUAUCUCAAAGGUGGUAAUGUUUCCCUGCAUAUCCCUAUAGAAGCCAAGGAUCAGUGUUGUUUCAUGUGGAUCAAUGAAGUGCAUGAUGCAGGGUGGUAAAUGUGUGAAGUGCCGAUAUUUAUUCCAGGAUUUACGAACUGAGCCGUUUAUUUGGGUUUUAAAUAGUUGUUUGGCUAAUACUAAUGCUCACAGGCAAUUUCAAAUAUGAGUUUCUUAGGAAACUGAGUAUUAUGGGGCUUCCCCUCUAACAUUUCUUUUGGUGUGAAUAAACAACGUACCCUUGUUUACAAGGCUAACACU